AUUGGCCUCCAAAUUAACUCUCUAUAAAGCGGUACAAAGAAGGAAAAAAACUCGGUAAAAGCAGAGAUAGUAACUGGCUAUGGCUUUUCAAGCUCCAUUGUUAGUAAUUAGUCUUUUGAUCUUCUUGGCCAAUUUUUGGGCUAGGACUGAGUUUUCUCUGGCUGCAAAUGUGCCAUUUCUACUCCAUUUAAUCGUACCAUAUUUCCAUCUGAUUUUCUUUUUGGAGCUUCCACUUCUGCCUAUCAGUACGAAGGUGCAUGGAAUGAAGAUGGCAAAGGACCAAGUAUUUGGGAUACUUUUGCCCACACUUAUCCUGGUCUAUAUCUCCUCUUCCAUGCUCUCACGCACAUUAAUUUUAAUGCAUCCCAUUUUCACUUAAUAAUACUACUGCCUUUAUCUAAUCCUUAAUUUAUUCUUAGUCA